rnacentral:rRNA from 1 species
UAAUACCCAAGAUGAGUGGACGUUACUCGCAGAAUAAGCACCGGCUAACUCUGUGCCAGCAGCCGCGGUAAUACAGAGGGUGCGAGCGUUAAUCGGAUUUACUGGGCGUAAAGCGUGCGUAGGCGGCUUUUUAAGUCGGAUGUGAAAUCCCCGAGCUUAACUUGGGAAUUGCAUUCGAUACUGGGAAGCUAGAGUAUGGGAGAGGAUGGUAGAAUUCCAGGUGUAGCGGUGAAAUGCGUAGAGAUCUGGAGGAAUACCGAUGGCGAAGGCAGCCAUCUGGCCUAAUACUGACGCUGAGGUACGAAAGCAUGGGGAGCAAACAGGAUUAGAUACCCUGGUAGUCCAUGCCGUAAACGAUGUCUACUAGCCGUUGGGGCCUUUGAGGCUUUAGUGGCGCAGCUAACGCGAUAAGUAGACCGCCUGGGGAGUACGGUCGCAAGACUAAAACUCAAAUGAAUUGACGGGGGCCCGCACAAGCGGUGGAGCAUGUGGUUUAAUUCGAUGCAACGCGAAGAACCUUACCUGGUCUUGACAUAGUAAGAACUUUCCGGAGAUGGAUUGGUGCCUUCGGGAACUUACAUACAGGUGCUGCAUGGCUGUCGUCAGCUCGUGUCGUGAGAUGUUGGGUUAAGUCCCGCAACGAGCGCAACCCUUUUCCUUAUUUGCCAGCACUUCGGGUGGGAACUUUAAGGAUACUGCCAGUGACAAACUGGAGGAAGGCGGGGACGACGUCAAGUCAUCAUGGCCCUUACGACCAGGGCUACACACGUGCUACAAUGGUCGGUACAAAGGGUUGCUACCUAGCGAUAGGAUGCUAAUCUCAAAAAGCCGAUCGUAGUCCGGAUUGGAGUCUGCAACUCGACUCCAUGAAGUCGGAAUCG